UGGGGAAUAUUGGACAAUGGGCGCAAGCCUGAUCCAGCAAUGCCGCGUGUGUGAAGAAGGCCUUCGGGUUGUAAAGCACUUUUAUCAGGAGCGAAACACUGUCGGCUAAUACCCGGCGGAACUGACGGUACCUGAGGAAUAAGCACCGGCUAACUUCGUGCCAGCAGCCGCGGUAAUACGAAGGGUGCAAGCGUUAAUCGGAAUUACUGGGCGUAAAGCGUGCGUAGGCGGUUUCUUAAGUCUGCUGUGAAAUCCCCGGGCUCAACCUGGGAAUGGCAGUGGAUACUGGGAGGCUAGAGUGUGUCAGAGGGUGGUGGAAUUCCCGGUGUAGCGGUGAAAUGCGUAGAGAUCGGGAGGAACAUCCGUGGCGAAGGCGGCCACCUGGGACAACACUGACGCUGAGGCACGAAAGCGUGGGGAGCAAACAGGAUUAGAUACCCUGGUAGUCCACGCCCUAAACGAUGCGAACUGGAUGUUGAUCUCAACUCGGAGAUCAGUGUCGAAGCUAACGCGUUAAGUUCGCCG
rnacentral:rRNA from 1 species